CGAAAAUCUCCCUGAAGCGCCGGAAAUCGCUUCUGCUGUCGGGACACCACCAAACACCACAAAAUUGCCACCUUUAAACUUGUCUCUACAUUUUCUUUUUAUUUCUCCAACUCAUUCUCUCAAAAUCUCACUAAAACCUUCAUUCCAAUUUUUUUUUACCAAGAAACCUAGAAUUUCAAAUUGAAAUUAAAUGGUAACAUGACACAACCUCAAACCACAACCUUAGGGAUUUGAUUCAUUACCACAAACUCUACAACAUGGUAACUACUAUAGUGCAAAGAGAUGAAGAAUUAAAGAGUCAUGUCCUACCUACAGAGCUAAGAAGUGCUCUGAAUACUGUUGGAGCGUUUGGAGAUGAAUAUGAAGGCAAGAAGACUAGAGACAAAAUCAGGUAAGCCUCGAUCCUUGACUCUUACAUUUUCUCCCUCAUUUAUUCUUCUUCUUCUUCUUCUCCUGAGAUGAUAACUUAGUCUGUAGCAUAUUUGUAACUAUGUAAUACUGGAUAUGAUAGGAGUGUAGGAGUGGUCUAGCUCUACUUUUUUAGAGCUUCAAUGUGAAUCUCUGAGGAGUAUCUCGAAGGAGAUCUAAUGGAGGUUGGGACAGUGAAAUUAAGAGAGUUGCAGAGAAUGAGGGUGGAUUGUUGAUUGAUUGAAGAGAGAAUGAAUGUGAAGUUGAAGUUGAUUGAGAAUGGUUGCUCAUGAUCUAUUAUAUAGAUGGAGGACUUGGGAGUUGGUUAUGUCUUGAUUCAACUCAACCCUAGGAUUGAGAUGAUAUUUGUUAAGAAUUAAGGGCUUAGAUGGAGUUAGUUAGAAGUUGUUUGAAAGUUAGUUGGAGUGAGAAAAAGCACUUAGAGUCAAUUAGUUAGAGUUAGAAGUUAUGCUAGUUGUUAGUUAAAUGGGUUAGUUAAAUGUUAGGGUAGAUAGUUAGUUAGGGGUUAACUGUUAGUUAACAUGGUUAGAGUCAAUUGGUGUUUUAACUAUUAGUAGUUGGGUUAACUGUUAGAAAAUUGGUUAAAAUCAGUUUGUAGUUAGGUUAAAACAAAUUAACAGUUAGUUGGGCUUAAGUUAGUGAACAACUUAGAUGAAGAUUGAAAUGUUAAUUAAUAGUUAACUUGGUAAUGAAGAAAAGGUGCUAAUGACAAUUAGAGCUAGAAAUUAAAAGGUUAGUUGAAUUAGAUGUUAGAAGUUAGCUUGUUUAGUUUAGGAUUAGCUAGCUUGUAACUCUUGACUUAGAAAUUUAUUUGAUUAGUGGCUUGGCAAUUGUUGGAUGGAUUAAUGGUUAAAAAGCUAUGACAGUUGAAUGUUUAUUGACAGUUACGUUGGCUUAGUGAUUAAUUAAUUUGUACAUGACUUGGAGUGUAGUUUUAUUAAUUGCUAGGGUUGAUGAUAGUUUGGGCGGUGUGAAUGGUAGUUAGGAUUUUAUUUGCUAAAAGUUAGUUAAUAGUUUGUUAAUAAGUUAGUCUGUUGUAAUGUUAGAUAGCUAGCCAAUCUUGCUUCACAGUUGGGGGGCAUGCUAUUACUUUGGUCAGUUGGGGCAGGGCUUGUGGCUUGUGGAUUAGAUCAGGGCAAUUUGUAAUUAGAUAUUUUAGGAAUUGGACUUUUUUUGGGAUGACAUAUUAAUUUGGGUAGUGGUUUGGUUAGCUGCUAACUGACUUGGUCAGUUAGUUUAGGUUUGCAUCGCAAGUUGGAUUGGGGCAGUGAUUUGGAUGCCUAAUGAUUGGGAAACUAGUUAAUUGAUCCCACAUGAAAGGUUAAGUGAUCACUUUAUGCAUGAUGAAUUUGUUAUGUCGUCUGCUAUUAGCUUAUAUACGUGCUUUACUAUGAUGGUUUAUGUAUUGUAAACGUAUAUGUAUGUUACAUAGCAUGACACAUUUGGAUAACAUGGCUUGUAUGCUGCUGGGUAUUGGAUUUUUCAUUGUAUGCAUGAUGAGUCUUAUGGUGUGGACUUUAUGUAUGUGUGUAUGGACUGCCAUGACUUGGUUGGAUAUCAGGUAGGCUAAAAAGUGUUAUGGAAUGGUAGUCUUUUUAUGUACUUUGAUGUGGUGUUGACAGUGGGAUGACAAUUGAGGUUUAUGCAUUGAGUUGUGUUUAUAUGUGGGUUAUUUUGUAUGGUAUGACAUUUAGGAGGAAUUUUGUUAGUAUUGUUGUAUGAAUUGCUCGAGUAAAGUUGUCUUGGCAUGCAUUGUGUUGUGUUAGAUGACAUGUUUGAAUGUCAUGGCUUGUGAUUGUGUAUAACAUUAUGUGAAUGAAUGCUGAUGUUGUUUAGGUUUUACAGGGCUGUUUUGGGCAUGAUGGAGGAAUAAAGUUUUAAGGUUUAACAUGGUUUGACAUGGCUUGACAUGGAACUUGGAAUGGAAAUACAUCACGAUGGAACAUGGGAAUGGAAUUGAAGAAAUCUUAGAGCCACCCAUGAAAAUGAAGAGAAAAGUAGUCUUAAGGUUCAAUUUGAUUUUGGUAAAUUGUUUGACCAAAAGUCAACCUUAGGAUUUCUUUAUGUAAUUUUCAAUUUGACCCUUUGUAAUGUAUUCUUGGAUUUUGCAUAUGAAUUUGACCUUGAAUGUACAACUUGUAGCUUAUUUUCCAAGAAUGCAUUUUCCCUCCAUUUUCAUAAUUUGAACUUUUGAAAUUU
rnacentral:lncRNA from 1 species